rnacentral:rRNA from 1 species
GACGAACGCUUGCGGCGUGCUUAACACAUGCAAGUCGAACGGAAAGGCCCUGCUUUUGUGGGGUGCUCGAGUGGCGAACGGGUGAGUAACACGUGAGUAACCUGCCCUUGACUUUGGGAUAACUUCAGGAAACUGGGGCUAAUACCGGAUAGGAGCUCCUGCUGCAUGGUGGGGGUUGGAAAGUUUCGGCGGUUGGGGAUGGACUCGCGGCUUAUCAGCUUGUUGGUGGGGUAGUGGCUUACCAAGGCUUUGACGGGUAGCCGGCCUGAGAGGGUGACCGGCCACAUUGGGACUGAGAUACGGCCCAGACUCCUACGGGAGGCAGCAGUGGGGAAUAUUGCACAAUGGGCGGAAGCCUGAUGCAGCAACGCCGCGUGCGGGAUGACGGCCUUCGGGUUGUAAACCGCUUUCGCCUGUGACGAAGCGUGAGUGACGGUAAUGGGUAAAGAAGCACCGGCUAACUACGUGCCAGCAGCCGCGGUGAUACGUAGGGUGCGAGCGUUGUCCGGAUUUAUUGGGCGUAAAGGGCUCGUAGGUGGUUGAUCGCGUCGGAAGUGUAAUCUUGGGGCUUAACCCUGAGCGUGCUUUCGAUACGGGUUGACUUGAGGAAGGUAGGGGAGAAUGGAAUUCCUGGUGGAGCGGUGGAAUGCGCAGAUAUCAGGAGGAACACCAGUGGCGAAGGCGGUUCUCUGGGCCUUUCCUGACGCUGAGGAGCGAAAGCGUGGGGAGCGAACAGGCUUAGAUACCCUGGUAGUCCACGCUGUAAACGGUGGGUACUAGGUGUGGGGUCCAUUCCACGGGUUCCGUGCCGUAGCUAACGCUUUAAGUACCCCGCCUGGGGAGUACGGCCGCAAGGCUAAAACUCAAAGGAAUUGACGGGGCCCCGCACAAGCGGCGGAGCAUGCGGAUUAAUUCGAUGCAACGCGUAGAACCUUACCUGGGUUUGACAUGGAUCGGGAGUGCUCAGAGAUGGGUGUGCCUCUUUUGGGGUCGGUUCACAGGUGGUGCAUGGCUGUCGUCAGCUCGUGUCGUGAGAUGUUGGGUUAAGUCCCGCAACGAGCGCAACCCUUGUUCACUGUUGCCAGCACGUUAUGGUGGGGACUCAGUGGAGACCGCCGGGGUCAACUCGGGGGAAGGUGGGGAUGACGUCAAGUCAUCAUGCCCCUUAUGUCCAGGGCUUCACGCAUGCUACAAUGGCUGGUACAGAGAGUGGCGAGCCUGUGAGGGUGAGCGAAUCUCGGAAAGCCGGUCUCAGUUCGGAUUGGGGUCUGCAACUCGACCUCAUGAAGUCGGAGUCGCUAGUAAUCGCAGAUCAGCAACGCUGCGGUGAAUACGUUCCCGGGGCU